UGGCAGUGGUGGGAUAUAAAGAAAAAGAUCUCCCCUGCCUGAACGAUCCUUUACAGCAGGUUAUAAAUAAAGUAUGAUGAUGAUGAUGAUUAUAUAAAAUGUGAACACAGAACCUAUAUUUGCCUAGAAAACAUCCCCUUUUCAUGUAGGAAACAGCUGCAGAGAAAAUAACAUUCUGGGUUUACAAACAACAAUAUACAACAGGAAAAAGAAAAGGGAGGAAUGAAGAGUGAAGAAGUAAGACACAGUGCAAAUGAUUUUUUAAAGAAAAUUUUAUUCAAAAAAUGAAGUUUCCAGUUUCCAAUGGGCUGAAAAGAAAAUAAGAGUGAACAAUAAAGACCUUCUUCCAAAUCGUGACUCUGUAAUAUCAACAUGGCUGGUGCAGAUAGCUGUACAGAAGAUUGCAACUGAAUCAGUACAGGCCUCCCCAGCUUAAAGAAAUGAGAAGGGGAAUGAGAUGCUAUUUUUGGUUAUUUUAUCUGAGCAAGCUAGAGAUUUCUGAAGAAGGUACAGCUGCUUAAUACUGAGAUAAAUUCUGUAAGAAGAUUUGGUGUUUAUACUAGCAGAACAAAACAAGUUUGUGUAAUGAGAAACCACACAACCCACCAGAGCAAAGUUUGGACGAGGCAGGGGAUAGAAUGAAGGAAAAUCUGUCCCCUUAAAACUAUUCUGUUCUGGUGGAUGUUUGGAUUUCACUUACAAAUGCUUUGGCCAAAGCCUUCAGAUCACUCAAAUUCAGUUUUCUUUGAAAUGUAGCUAUUUUUACUUGUUUACAGUUACUGCUCUG
rnacentral:lncRNA from 11 species